rnacentral:rRNA from 1 species
AACGAACGCUGGCGGUAUGCUUAACACAUGCAAGUCGAACGAACAAAAUUGGGGCUUGCUCCAAUUUUAGUGAGUGGCAAACGGGUGAGUAACACGUGGGAAUCUACCUAUCAGUACGGAAUAACAUUUGGAAACAGAUGCUAAUACCGUAUAUUCUCCAAGGAGGAAAGAUUUAUCGCUGAUAAAUGAGCCCGCGUAAGAUUAGGUAGUUGGUAGGGUAAUGGCCUACCAAGCCGACGAUCUUUAGCUGGUCUGAGAGGAUGAUCAGCCACACUGGGACUGAGACACGGCCCAGACUCCUACGGGAGGCAGCAGUGGGGAAUAUUGGAAAAUGGGCGAAAGCCUGACCCAGCAAUACCGCGUGAAUGAUGAAGGCCUUAGGGUUGUAAAGUUCUUUUAGUUGGAAAGAUAAUGACGGUACCAACAGAAAAAGCCCCGGCUAACUCCGUGCCAGCAGCCGCCGCCG